GUCGAACGCUGGCGGCGUGCUUAACACAUGCAAGUCGAGCGAGCGGCGGACGGGUGAGUAAUGUCUGGGGAACUGCCCGAUGGAGGGGGAUAACUACUGGAAACGGUGGCUAAUACCGCAUACUAUCGGAUGAACCCAUAUGGGAUUAGCUAGUAGGUGGGGUAAAGGCUCACCUAGGCGACGAUCCCUAGCUGGUCUGAGAGGAUGACCAGCCACACUGGAACUGAGACACGGCCCAGACUCCUACGGGAGGCAGCAGUGGGGAAUAUUGCACAAUGGGCGCAAGCCUGAUGCAGCCAUGCCGCGUGUAUGAAGAAGGCCUUAGGGUUGUAAAGUACUUUCAGCGAGGAGGCGUUACCCGCAGAAGAAGCACCGGCUAACUCCGUGCCAGCAGCCGCGGUAAUUC
rnacentral:rRNA from 1 species